UACGGGGGGGCAAGCGUUGUUCGGAAUUACUGGGCGUAAAGGGCUCGUAGGUGGCCAACUAAGUCAGACGUGAAAUCCCUCGGCUUAACCGGGGAACUGCGUCUGAUACUGGAUGGCUAGAGUUUGGGAGAGGGAUGCGGAAUUCCAGGUGUAGCGGUGAAAUGCGUAGAUAUCUGGAGGAACACCGGUGGCGAAGGCGGCGAUCUGGACGAUGACUGACGCUGAGACGCGAAAGCGUGGGGAGCAAACAGG
rnacentral:rRNA from 1 species